rnacentral:rRNA from 1 species
GACGAACGCUGGCGGCGUGCUUAACACAUGCAAGUCGAACGGUAAGGCCCUUCGGGGUACACGAGUGGCGAACGGGUGAGUAACACGUGGGUGAUCUGCCCUGCACUUCGGGAUAAGCCUGGGAAACUGGGUCUAAUACCGGAUAGGACCACUGCCUGCAUGGGUGCUGGUGGAAAGCUUUUGCGGUGUGGGAUGGGCCCGCGGCCUAUCAGCUUGUUGGUGGGGUGAUGGCCUACCAAGGCGACGAGGGGUAGCCGGCCUGAGAGGGUGACCGGCCACACUGGGACUGAGAUACGGCCCAGACUCCUACGGGAGGCAGCAGUGGGGAAUAUUGCACAAUGGGCGCAAGCCUGAUGCAGCGUCGCCGCGUGAGGGAUGACGGCCUUCGGGUUGUAAACCUCUUUCAGCACCGACGAAGCGCAAGUGACGGUAGGUGCAGAAGAAGGACCGGCCAACUACGUGCCAGCCGCCGCCGUAA